CUGGGGGUUCUUUCCCCUCAACAAAUAAAGGCUUGGGCUAACAAAAACCUACCUAAUGGAGAAGUCGUUGGCGAAGUCACAAGGCCCUCUACUUUUCAUUAUAAAACCAAUAAACCAGAAAAAGAUGGGACCAGUUGA
rnacentral:rRNA from 1 species